rnacentral:rRNA from 1 species
AGGUAGUAAUUAUCAAACCUAUUUAUAAUGACGGCAUUAUCUAAUUAGAGGAACUUGUCUACUAAUCGACAACACACGAUAAUUUUCACUUUAUAUUAAAAUUUAUAUACCACCAUCUAAAGAAUUAAUCUAAUAAUAUUAUUCUUAAUUAAAAACAAAAAAGUUAGGUCAAGGUGUAAUCUAUCUUAAAGAUAAGAUGAGUUACAUUAAAAAAAAUUUAAGGAUUAUAUAUCAAAAUAACUUUGAAAAAGAAUUUAGAAGUAAUAAAUUAAUAAUAUUCAUUUAUGAAUUAAACAAUAAUGUGU